GCUUUCCCCUCAACCCCAUUAUCCUGUUUUAUCCCCGUAACCUCACUAAUCAAGAACCUGUCAAUUUCUGUCUUAAAAAUAUCUAAUGAUUUGGCCUCACAGCCAUCUGUGGCAAUUAAUUCCAUAGAUUCACCACCCUUAGGCUAAAGAAAUACCUCCUCAUCUAUUUUCUAAAUAUACAUCCUUUUAUUCAGAGGCUGCGGCAUCUGGUCUCUAGGAAACAAGGGCCGAAUGACUUACUCCUGCACCUAUUUUCUAUGAAUCAGAAACAAUCACUAAUUUAAGAAACAUUUAGAUAAAAACUUAAAUAGGUAAGGCUUAGUUGGAUACAGAUCUAAUGUGGGCAAAUGGCUUGGUGUAGAUGGGUGUAAGUGUCUGCAUGGAAGUGGUGAGUGAAAGGGUUCAUUUCUAUGUUGUACACCAGCCUCUUCACAUCCUUUCUAUCCAGGCCUUUCAUUAUUCGGAAAGUUUCAGUGAGGUCCUCCCUCAUCCUUCUCUACAAUGACUGCAGAACCAGAGCCAACAGAUGCUCAUCCUAUGUGAACCCAAUCAUCCCCGGGAUCAUUCUUGUCAACCUGCUCUGGUCCCUCUCCAUCGCCAGCACACCCCCCCUCAGAUAUGGGGCCCAAGUUCUUUUCUCACUUCAACUUUGUCAGAGAAUAUACAACAGCUUGAAAUCUCAUCUAUUCUUAAGAACAGCUUCUUGUCCAUGGAUGUGCGAUUCCUGAACGGAGGUAGAGUUGAGAGCAUGUGGGGGAGAUGUUCCAAGUACUUUUGCUCUUUAUUCUAUCUCACUCUAUUAUCCUAUUAUUGUACUUACUUUUUUUUUCUCUUCUUCGGUGUUCACCAUUCUGCUGUUUUGCACUUGUACCUACUAUUGUAUUCAUCAUUACUAUAUAUGUGCUAUUUACUCUACGAGCUUCAUGUGAAAAAUAAAUUUCAUUGCACUUUGGUGUACAUGGCAAUAAACUAAUUUGAUCUGAUCUGAUCAAUCAAUCAGCACUAUCUUAUAAUAAGGAAUGAAAAUUGAAGAGAUACACAAAAUGUUUUAGGCCUAUUGGUAUCUCCUAAGAAUCUGCAAAUUAAAAUCUGUUUAAAGUGCGGUACAAUUAGUAUAUGAAGCUGAAAAUCCAAUAAACGCACUGGAUGUGUAUUUUCUUCUCCUUACAAUGAGCUUGGUGCAAUCUUGUGAUGGGACCCAUUGUUUGCUGAAGGGAAGUCAAAGUUAAUAAACAUCAUGUUAAUAAUUUACAGAGGUACCUGUUCCUUGCAGAGAAAAGGUGACAGUGUUGCAGGUGAUCUGCUGAAUGUGGUGCUAUGAGACGAAGAAGUACAAGUGGAGCAGUAUCUCGUGGGAGUCAAAGUUAGAGGAGCUGCAUCAAAGAAAAGCACUUGUUGGCUGUUGUCUGUAUGCAGAGCUGCGGGAUGAAAAUAUAAAAGAUUCUGCCUGACUGAUCUGUCCACAGAUUCUGCCUGGUUGAGCUCCUCUAAUAGUUUGUGUUGUGCUCCAGAUUCCAGCAUUUACAGCCACUUGUGCCUUCUCGACAACUAUUGAGCAGAUAAAGUAUUUUGCAGAAAAGAAGAAUCACAGCAAUUAAACUGCUAAACAUCAUGGAGGCCCUCACGCCGUUUUCCAGAUGGUACUUGUAUGCCAUACACGGUUACUUUUGUGAGGUAAUGUUUACAGCUGGAUGGGACUUUGUGGAGAAUGCAAACUGGAAGUUCCGUGGAGUUACCAGUGUAUGGUCGCUUCUUAUCUACGGUACUUCAAUCCUCGUUGUGGAAAAGAUGUACCUUCACCUUCGGACUAAGUAUAAUGUUCUAACAAGGGGCUUCAUUUAUACACUCUGGACGUACGUUUGGGAGUUUACAACAGGCUUAAUCCUGCAGCAGUUUAAUGCUUGCCCCUGGGAUUAUUCCUCUUUCCGGGGGAACUUUAUGGGACUAAUUACUCUUGAAUAUGCAAUGCCGUGGUUCCUCGCUUCGAUAGUUGCCGAGCAGAUGGUGAUUAAAAACAUUUUGCGGUUACGUCUGGAUGAACAGGGAGACUCAACUUCAAGUUAUGUGACACUGAAAAAGCACUUCUAAAUGAAUUUGGUUUGAUUAAUGUUACCCACGUAACAUCCAUCAGUUGAAUUCUCU